AUUAAAAUUAAAUUGAAAUUAUAAAAACAUCCGAUUUAUUAAACGCCAACGUCAAUUACCUAAGUGAAAUAUACAGCAAGUGUGAUUUUAUAGAAUUUAAGCAGCGAAAAUUGUACAAUCAUCAUCAUAUGAUAUAUGUCAAACGCCAAGUAUAAAAAGUGUCUGACAUAUAAUAAUAAAUAACCUUAGUAAGAAAAAUCAAACAAAUAAAAAUAAAUAAAUAAAAAAGAAAAACUUAUCAAGUUUCCUAAUAAUUAAUUAUUCAUACGCACGCAAAUAAGCAGCUAACAUUCCAACAACAAAUAAUCUGUCGGGAGAGAGUAGGGUCUGUGGUUUGUGACAUUUAAUAUUCACCCAUACAAAUGCAUUCCUCCGGUCUCAUUUAAGCUAAAAACCAAUGAAAAAGUGAUACAAAAAAAAUAUUUCAGUUCAUAAAUAUGAAAAUACACUUUAGGGAACAAUAUGGCACUAAAGGUGAAGAAAUAUUAUAUGUUACACCGGCCGAUCAAAAAUCCAUAGUUCGCGUACCGUUGCGGACCGACAAAUUGAUGAUACGUGAAAAAUUUUUUCUUUUCCGUUUGAUGCAACAAAUUUUUUUACCGAGAGGUUAUCCAGACAGUGUUAGUGAAGACUAUGCCGCUUACCAAAUCUGGGAUACAGUACAAGCAUUCAGCAGUACCAUUUGCGGAACGUUGUGCACGCACGCAAUACUAAAAGGUCUGGGAGUGGGUAAUGAAAAUAUAAAUGCAUAUUCUGCAACAGUUACCUGGAUUUUGAAAGAAGGCAGCGGCCAUUUAGGGCGUAUAUUGUUUUCUUGGUGGAAAGGAGCCCAGCUAGAUGUGGAAAGUAAAAAAUGGCGACUAAGAGCCGAUUUUCUCAAUGAUUGCGCUAUGGGCAUAGAGAUUUAUGUGCUUCCUAAAUAUCCUCAUUUAAGUACAUAUAUAUUAUGCAGCACCACCGUACUAAAGGCCAUAGUUGGCGUUGCAGGUGGCGCUACCAGGGCAGCUCUAACACAACAUCAAGCUGUGCGUGGAAAUCUCGCAGAUGUUAGUUCAAAAGACAGUUCUCAAGAAACAUGUGUUAAUUUAAUAGCCUCUUUCGUUGGUCUUUAUUUCUUAACAAUCAUCAAGAGUCCGGGAGUGUUAUACAGUGUGUUUGCAUUUGUUGUUGUGAUGCAUUUGUACGCCAACCUGAAAGCAGUUAAAGCAGUUUGCUUAAAAACCUUUAACGAAUCACGCUAUUUAAUAACUUUGGAAGAAUAUUUCAAAUCUGGAAGAAUGUUACCGCCAAAACAAGUCAAUAAACUGGAACGUGUCACGUUGGGUCAAACAGUUUCGGUUUCUGUUAAUAUACGCUUAGGUCUUUCUAUAAAGCAUUUGGUAGAUGAAUAUCAAAAUAGUCUGGUUAUCGAAAACAUAAUCUCUUCAUUUGAUCCCCAUGAGCGUUUCAUUAUAGCGGAAAGCAAAAAAUUUCUGGGAGUCUAUUUACAUUUCGAUACUCAACCACAAGAUGUCUUAAAAGCUUAUUUUUUUGCUGUCUCAUAUCUCCAAGAUCGCAAUCAGAUUAAAGAAAAAUAUUGGGAAGUGCAUAAUAAAUGGCAGGAAUUUUAUAAUAUGGCACUGCAAGAAGGUUGGUUAACAAGUCAACAUUUAUUAAUGGUGGAUGAAUAUCGUUUAAACUGGAAAGCCUAAACUUUCUUUUUUUCACCGAAUCGCUGGACCAAAAACUCUUUGGUAUAAUAAAAUCAAGCACAUGAACAAAAUGUAAUGUAAAACUCAUUUCGUUUCUUAGCAUUUGAAAUACUAACAUAUCUUCUCCUAAAAAAGAAAAACAUGCAAAUAAUAAUGCUCGGUUCAGGACGAACUUUUUUGAUGCCCACCACACUUGUCUGCUUUUUGCCCUAUCUCUAAAUGUCGAAAGCAAAAAUUUAUUAUGUUCUUAUCGCAUCCUAUAGCUAAGGUAACAAAUUAAAUAUACCACAUUGGAAGCCUUAUGUUAAUUUCCAUCGUUUAGUUGUACGCAUACUUCAAAAUAUUGCCCAUUAUUAAGCAAAGGCUGUCUGCAAUAUUGUAGCAAACCCAUGAUGAACGCAUAGCAUCAAGUCAUUACGUGAUGCGUCACUACUUAUAGCGACCACGAUUUAUUUAAUAUCCCUUUUAGGAAUUCAUGCUAAAGGCAUCCAACUUGAUAUUGGCGAACACUUUAGAAGCGUUCAUAUUCGGUUCAGCUAUUCAUGUAGAUCGUAAUGUAUGACGAAAGGUUUUGUAAUAAAGCAAUCCUAAUAGAGCACCAGCUAUAUUAAAAAUAUUUCAUAUAAUUCCCCUGCUUUGAAACGUUUGGAAAUGGAAAGUAAAACGAAAGAUGUUAAUGCAAUUAUUCACUAAAUAGCACGCGAGAUGGUCGCAUGUUGACAAAAAAACUUUACACAAAAAGUUCCCGCAAGGGUAAGGUUAGUGUUUAGGACAACGACAGGCAAAAAGGUUCAUAAAAUCUUUGGGUAUAGCAUAUAAGCUACUGGAACUGAUACGAAACGAUCUGCGUUUGAUCAGAGCCGUCAUAAUUCCCUCAGAUGUCACUUGAAAAAUAUGGGUCUGUCCGAUACUGAUUCACGCAGAUUCUGCCGAGGAACGAGUAAGAUUACCCCUCAUAUUCUAUGUGAAUGUGAGGCAAACAUGUGUUUGGUCAGCAUUUCAUAACGCCAGACCCCGUAUGGUGCUCUGAACAAAAGCAAGUGGCGGAAUUCAUAAGAAUCCUAAAACUAGGGGACUAGUGGCACGGACAAGUAUAACAGAUCUAUGCCGCUGUGGGAAUUUUCCUACGCAUUUCUUUAUUUAAGAUUCAUUUACGGAAAGUAAAUCGAAAAAUUUUAAGGCAAAGGUUAAAGAAAGCGGGUGCUUUGAAAUGAUAAGUCAUGUUGUCCGUAAUAAAAAUCUGUUAAGUUUUAUACAUCUCGUGUGGUGGGUAUAGAAGAAACCUUCGAUACCCAUAGUGACAUCCUUACUAAAUCUGUACAUAUGUUUAGCUUUUAACAGAGUGAUUUUCAGGCUAAACUAUUCUCUACUUCCGUGAAACAUGUAACAUUUUUGCCUUAAAAAUUAGCUGUAUUUUCUAAAGUUGUCUAAAAUUAUUUGAAAUAGUUAAAAUAAUUCU